ensembl:snoRNA
AAGACUAUACUUUCAGGGAUCAUUUCUAUAGUUCUUGACUUGAGAAAUGUGUUUCUAAAGUGUUUGGUCUCGCCAACUACGAUGAUGAGAUGCGAUAUUCCUUCCUGAGCAUGAAGCUGGCAGAAAGCAAUGAUUGUAUCAUAUAUCUUCUGCCCUUGAUGAUUGUUCACUGCUCUGUUGUGGAGCAUUGAUGGAAGGAAUAUGUUCAGAGUAGUU